CUGGCAGUAUAAUUAACAUUUACAUAGCCAAAGUCUAGGCCUAUACUAAAUCAUGGUGUAUAAUAAAACAUACAACCUUAAAACACAAGUUUAACAAGCUAACAAUAACAGGUGUUGUCAUUUAAUCUGUUCAGCCAACCACAGAUAAUCUCAAAUUACUUAAUUUGAUUGGUCACUUUAUCCAUGUUUAUCACUGAAGGCCAUGGAAAUUAACAAGGUGCUUUUGAAUGUUAUCAAUUAACUGAAAAUUGUUAGUGGUUUUAGAGCUCUUUUUCAGUGCACAUUCAUGAUGAUGAAACAGGCAGUUUAACCAUAUUUUCUGAAGUAUUUCAGCAGUACUAAUAGCAUGUGAAUCAAGGGUGAAAAUCUGAAGCCACCAUGAUUCAAUAUUUCAAACCUAGUUUGGUCACUCUGCAGAAUUCACAGUGGCAAGAUUUCCAAUUUGCUUUGCUACCAUUGGACAAGAAAAAGCACGGAUAUAGACAGCUCAUACAGAAAAUUGCUGGUUUAUACAAAAGUGUAACGCGACAGAUUUUUGAACAGGGUUUUGUAUAGUAAACUGUAGUUGAGGCUUUAAUAUAAAUUACAGAAAAAAAAAACUAAUUUGAAGACCGUAAAGCAUUUAGGUACCGCUGGAAUUUGAAGUAUGUGCAUCAGUAAGGCUUAAGACGAACAGUAUUAUGUGAAGGGGUAUGCAAGUCAUCGAGACCCUAGGGAUUAAUAUCCCUACCCCAUGAUGCAUAGUUGAUGUUUUUAAUUAAAGAAAUCAUGGUUUGUA